GGUUGCGAUCAUACCAGCACUAAUGCACCGGAUCCCAUCAGAACUCCGCAGUUAAGCGUGCUUGGGCGAGAGUAGUACUAGGAUGGGUGACCCCCUGGGAAGUCCUCGUGUUGCAACCCCCG
rnacentral:rRNA from 1 species